ACCUGGGUCAGUCGCGGCUUCUGAAACGCAGCGCCAGCCUGCCCAUCCCGAGACUUCGUUCUUUCUACAAAUACUGAGCACUUAUUAAUUAUAAAGAGGGACUUUCGGAGAGCCUCAACUGUUCCUAUUUUUCAUGAAUCACCUCAUUUAAUUAUCACCCAGAGGCCCCUGCAAGAUGGACAUGAUCCUACUCAUUUUACAGCUAAAGAAACGGAGGCUUAGAGAAGUUUGCUGAAGUUCACACGGUGCUCCUCUUCAGCCAAUGUGGCGGCGCUGCGUCCGUCCUCUGGUGGCCUCCUUCCCCUGCGGACCUCCUCCAGUCUAACGGUUUCACAUGCGGUCUCUAUGUGCUGAAGACUCCGAAUUGGCAACUCCAGUCUGACCCUGGGAUGCAAAUAUUACUGAACUGUAGAUUUGUAUAUCCAACUAGUUACCCAGUACCAUUUGUAUGUGAUGGACAUCCCCCAAAUGAACUUCUGAUAGUCACCUAGCCUGUUCCUUCAGCAGCAUGCAUCCCAGCAAAUUGAUGGCAACUCCUCCAUCUUUCCAGUUGCUCAGGCCAAAACUCUUGAUGUCAUUGUUGUCUGUUUUUUCACCCCAAACCCAGAUCCAAUCCAUCUGCAAUUUUGUUGGGUUUAUCUUCAAAAUAUAUCCAGAAUUGAGCCACUUUCAACACCUCCACUGUUAGAACAUCCACCAAGCUGCUGUCAUCUCCUGUUUGGAUUAUUGUGUUGCCUUCCUGACUAGUCUUCCUCUUGAGACCCACGUCAGAUCAUGUCAUUCAUUUUGUUCAAAACCCUUCACAGACUUCCCAUGUCAUUAGAGCAAAAACCGCUGGCCUCAUAGUGGCACACACAGCUGUCAUGAUCUGUCUCCUGUUCUUGGUUGGGUCUGCAAUGCUGAGAACAGCAGGUAGCAGGAACUCAGCCAGUAUUUGUUGAAUGAAUGAAUGUACAGGAUGCCUCAUUGUUUACAAGUGCCUUUACAUCUAUUCUUUGGUCAUUCAUCUUUACUACAGUCUCAUGAAGCAGGGAUCAUCCUGUCUUGCAGAUCAGUAAAAUGAAGCUGAGAGAGGGAGACUUGCCUGAAGUGACACAGAGAGUUGAUGGCAGAGGCCACACUAGAUCAAAGGUUCAGACUUCAGUCUGGAGCUUUCUGCUCUGCAGAUGGCAAAGCAUGAAACUGACUAAGGCCUAGAUAAGGAAUUUCCAGUCGGUAAUCUAGAUAAAAGCUGGACUGUUACAAAGAUUAAAUGAGAUAAUGUGAGGCACUUAGCACAAUGCAUAACACAUUGAUAUUACUUUUAUUAUUAUUGUUAUAAGUGAUUGAUGCUAGUGGUUGGAGAGAGUGGGGGUAUGGCCAGAGAUAGUUUAGGAAGCUUCAAGAGCAAAUAUGACCUGCUGGGACUGUUUGCUCUAUGCACAUUAAAAUAGUAAGAUAAAAUUUAUUCAAAAAUAUUUGAUUAGUAAGACAGUCAUUAAUUAAAUCUUUCCCUGUCCCACAUAACGGUGGGUUAUCCCUUUUUCCUGUACCUGAAAACCAUCGGGCCAGCUGCAGAAGACCCAGAGAUGUGUAGAUUAGAAAGGGAGAUAAUUGGGUAAAGAAAGAUGAAUUUUAAAAAGGAGAGAGAUGAAAGUCAGGAAAUAAAGGGGUGUGGGUGGCUAAGAGUGGACAGAGUAGAAGGUAAGGAUGGAGAGAGGCCAGAGAUAGAAAAGGAUAUUGGGUGGGGAGGAGGAGGAAGAAUAAAGGGAAAAGAAGAAAGGGGGAGAGAAAACAGGGAGAAGGUUGUAUGCCCUCCAUUACUUAUUAGUAUAAUAACAGUCGGCACUUACUGAAUGCUUAGCGUGUGGCAGGCACUGUCCAGAGCAUUUGUAGUACCUCGUUCAAGAUUCCUGUGGUAUGACUGUUCCUGAGCAUUUGCUCUGCCUUUCUCGGAUUUUACAUCCCUGUUUAGUGCUGUGUGACUUUCAGUGCCUCCUAGCAAACGAUAUGUUGUCCCAGUGAUGUUGACUUUACAUGUGACUAGCAUUGGUCAAUUGCAUGAGAGUGGACGCAAAGUGUACCACAUCCCAGAAGCAGCUUUGGGUCACUGUGUUCCUGCCACCACCGUAUUCUUUCCCUUUGCCUCAAGAAUAAUAUGUCCCAAACAGGAGAAGACAUGUGGAGCAGAGCCAUAUAAGCCCACCUGCAGCCACAAGUAACAUGUGACAGAAAUAAAUGCUCUUGUUGUAGCCAG